CAUUUCUUUCUCCGGUAAAUUGUUGCAGUGGGAGGUAGCAGAAGCAUAUGAAAACAAGAAAGACUGUUUAAAAGGAAACCAAAUUCUUCCGAUAUAUCUGAAAUUAGCAGAUCAAGCCGAGUCCAGCAUGAGUCUGUUGCAUUUCACAUUUCUGAGGAUCCCAACAUUUAUUUGUAACACAGAAUCCAGAAUAGUGCCUUUAUCUGAACAGAAUAUAGGGUCUCUUUGUAGAGGUGAACAAAUGUGGUGCAGCAAUGGUGCAGCUGGCUGAGAGUUUUGGACCCUGUUUUCCCUGUCUCAGUGGUUAUCUGACACAACCAGGAUUUGCAGUUCUGGCUUGAAGCUACUACAAUAAUGCAAACUCAGUCUGGUUUUUC